rnacentral:rRNA from 1 species
AAUGAACGCUGGCGGGAUGCCUAACACAUGCAAGCCGAGCGGUAUUGUGUCUUCGGAUGUGAAAGAGCGGCGUACGGGUGAGGAAUACAUGUGAACCCUGCCUAUCUCGGGGGAAUACCCUGUCAAAGGGAAGAUUAUUACUCCUUAAUAUUUUGGACGACAUCGUUUAAUAUUGAAACCUCCCGCGGAUAGAGAUGGGCACGCUCAAGAUUAGCUAGUAGGUGAGGUAGCGGCUCAUCAAGGCGAUGAUCUUUAGGGAGCUCGAGAGGGUGAUCCCCCACACUGGUACUGAGACUCGGACCAGACUCAUCCGGGAGGCAGCAGGACGGAAUAUUGGUCACUGGAUGCAGGCAUGAACCAGCCAUCACGAAGGCAGGAGGACUGCCAUAUGGGUUGUAAAGUUCUGUUUGUAUAGGGAUAAACCUACCGUGGUGAGGGUAGCUGAAGGUAGUAUAAGCAUAAGCUCCGGCUAACUCCGCGCCAGCAGCCGCGGUAAUGCGGAGGGUGCAAUCGUUAUCCGGAUUUAUUGGGUGUAAAGGGUCCGUAGGCGGAGUCAUAAGUCAGUUGUGAAAGCUCGUCGCUUAACGAUCGAACUGCCAUUGAGACUGCAAGUCUGGAGUGUAUGGGAGGUAGUUGGAAUAAGUCGUGUAGCGGUGAAAUGCAUAGAUAUUACUUAGAACACCGAUUGCGAAGGCAGGUCACCAAGACAGCACUGACGCUCAUGGACGAAAGCGUGGGGAGCGAACAGGAUUAGAUACCCUGGUAGUCCACGCCCUAAACGAUGGUAACUGGUUUGGGGCUUUAGGGUUCAGAGACCAAGCGAAAGUGAUAAGUUAGCCAGCGAUGGGGAGUACGCUGGCAAGAGUGAAACUCAAAGGAAUUGACGGGGGCCCGCACAAGCGGUGGAUUAUGUGGUUUAAUCGGAUGAUACGCGAGGAACCUUACCAACAUUUAAAUGGGCAAGGGACAGCCUUGGAAAUAGAUCGUUCUUGGGACAGUUCUCACGCUCAGGCACGGCAGUGGUCAGGUCAGGCCGUGAGGUGAGAGGUUAAGUCAAGUAACGAGCGCAGCGCAAGCCACUACUUGACAUCAUUCAGAAGGGCACUCUAGUGAGACUGCCUACGCAAGUCGAGAGGAGGGUGGGGAUGACGUCAAAUCAUCACGGCCCUUAUAUGUGGGGCCACACACGUAAUACAAUGGCCGGUACAGAGGGCAGCCACACAGCGAGGGGGAGCAAAUCUCGAAAACCCGUUUCAGGUCGGAAUGGCGUUUGCAAAUUGGCUUUAGGGAGGUGGGAUUGGUUGUAAUUGCGCGUCAACCAUGUCGCGGUGAAUACGUUCCCGGGCCU